rnacentral:lncRNA from 1 species
ACAGAGUUUGGUAACAAGAAGACAAAGUUCAUUUACGUUUAUAUAGUAGAGGGAAUUAAAGUCUUCAGAGCUUUCUGUCAAAUACUUAAUCUGUUCUGUGCCGAGCUGUACAAGGACUAAGUGCCAGGGCCUGAGUUUAAAUGCAACCCCCAAAAUGCAAAUUUCAAACCAGUGGAGAAAGAAGAGUGCAUGGGCAGGCCCCAGAUUAAGUUUCUUGAUGUUUGUAUUUUAUUUUUUGGUUUGUUUGUUGCUUUCCCCCCACCCCUUAGCUGUUUUCACAGCAGUAUGAUCCAAGGCAAUGCAGCCCUGCGAUAUAUCUGAGCUGAUCUUGAGCACAGACAGCUGUGGGAAGAGCCUGCAGAGCCAGUUGGUGCAGUCAACCUUGACAAAAUGUAAUCAAGACAAUCAAGUUUCUUUCUGCAAGCUCUUGAGAAAUUCAGCGAGCUUGUACAGAUAUCCAGAACUUCUAAGGCUCUUCCAUGUGGAGCAGGGCUCUUCCCUUCAGACUGCCUGGCAGUUUGUACCUUGAUGAAAAACAGCUGUUGGCUAUAAAGCCAUGAGAUGUGGUGACAGCUUUCUUAGCUAUAGGCCUGCCAAAAGAAAAUGUACCUAAAAUACAGCUAAACUGGAAUCUCAAAAAUAGCUCAUGUUCAUGUUCUGCAAAGGGCAGUCCUGGUCUUGUCUGCCUCUGCAACAGCUGAUGCCAUUUCAGAAGUAAACUAUGAUUAUGUGAAGGCUUAAUCUUGUGCAAAAAAAGACUGAGUAACCAAAGGCGUGCUCUCAAGAGGACAAGAAAGCAGGGAGAUAGCGGCAAAUGUUCCUGUGAGUGUUGUUGUGUUUUGUCAGCCCUUUGUUUACUGGUCUUUUGACUACAGAGUAGAGGAUGAUGCUCAGAAGAUACACCAUGUGCCUACUGCAGUUCUGGAGAAGUGCAAAGCUUUUCAAAAGGGGAAUAACAAUUCCUUAGAGACUCCAUUACGAGAAAUGGAAAUGAGGAGUAUUCACCAAAGGACAGAUUUCGAUGAAUAUGGAUGUUGUGUUCUGUCUGCCACCCCCAGCAUGUGCUGUGGUAAAGAAAAAGAACUCUGCUUCUUCUGGAGUUGGAGUACCACGAGUCUGGCAAGUCUCCUACAACGUCCUGGGAUCAUCAGCCUUGCUCAGAAAGUGCUGAAUGAUACAAAGAAAUGCUUUACAGGAGGCUCAGCUCGGAUAAUUGCGUGGUUUCAAAGCAACACCUUCUGGCAAGCCGCGGUAUUGCUUGUGCCAGCAGACACCUUCCUCUUGGAUUUACUUGGGACAAAACAGCGACGGCACAGCGGCCUUCAGAGGUGGUCCCUGGUUGCUUAGCGAGCACAAUGCAGUGUGAUUGACUUGAUUACUACGGCUUCCACUGGCAGAGAAGUAAACAUGGGGAGCGUUUUCCAGAUUUUUUUGGGUGAGCAAACAUAAGCACUUAGUGUUGUCACACAGAUAUAAUUGUCUUUUUUGUUUGUUUAUACUACACAGGCUAGUUUACAGGAAAUAAUAUCACCCAAAACAAUACAGGGCUUCAUUCAAAAAACUGAAGUCCAUGAACAAACGAUGCUUGCUAUCAUCCCUGUAUAUUAAUUUGGACAUUAGUGGUUACAAUUUCCUUAUUUUACUCCCUUCUACAGCUCACUGUAAAACUGACUGGCAGAAAAUUGAAGAGUGAAUGAAAAUUCAGAACAUUUUCAGAAAACAUUAUUAAUUAAAGUAUCAGUUCGAAGUAUCGUAGUCCCUUGGCAUUGAAGCAGUACCGUUGUCCUUAUGAACAAGCAGAAGUACUGUGAUGUGGAAGCAUCACAGAAAAGCACUAAUGAAGGUCACAGUUCCCUUACUCGCAGCAUCUACACAUGGUUUAAGCACUGCUGUACGGUAUUAGUAUCACCAUGAGACAAUCCAGCAAAUGGGAAUCAGACACGAAGAACGCCAGGUGAUUUAUACAGAAGGCUGAGAUAUGAUGUAAAUGUUCAUAUACACACUACAAAUAAAAGCAACGCAAGCAAUUGUAGAGGGAUGUUU